UAAAUAUAAGUAAUUAAACCGUAGACAGUAAGUAACCGCAAGGUUAUAAAUCGCAAGAGCUUACCGAGGUGAACAAAAAAAGACUACAAACUGUUUUUUUUGCGACCUCUCGAGCUUUCGGAGGUCGCUUUGUUUUACGGGUUA
rfam:Firmicutes bacterium CAG:552 genomic scaffold, scf61